rfam:Caprimulgus carolinensis contig91458, whole genome shotgun sequence.
GCAUGGAUGAAUUCUGCACUAGCUUUCCUCAGUAGCUAAUGCAGUCAGACACUAUGCCAGAAUAAAUUCCUUUCUCACACUCGGAUUGGUGUGCUUUUUAUAUGAGAAUGGGCAUGCCCUUGGAAGUGGGAUACAGAA